AUUACCAGUCUUACUAAGCCAUGUUAUCAUUAUUGUUUGGAUGGUGUAUGUUUUGUUUUUCUGAAGGACUAAAAUCCUGCCUUUGAAUUGAUCUGCAGGUCUCUGCCACAUGAGAAAAAAAUCGUCAAUUAAAUACAGAAUAAACUUUGAUUGCAUCAAGAAAUUGUGGUGGGCUUCCAACACAUUUGUUCAUGACUCUCUGCAUUUCAGCUAUUGGAUAUCAUUUUUGGUUCUCUGUCUUCCACAUGCUACCUCUGAGAUACCAAUUACCCCGACUUCUGCUCUCUGGAACUGCCUGAUUGAUCUUGAUGCCUGACAUCUUUUCAAUACCUGAAAAUGGCUGCUUCUGAAGAUGGCCCCACAUGAACAGCCUAAAGAUCACCAUGCGAUUACUUUGAACGGUAUGAGGCAGCAGAGCUAAAAGCUCAAAAUGGGAUGAGUUGCCAAACGCAUACGAAGAACUAGGCUGGAUGAGGACGUUGAUGCAAGAAUUUGAGACGGCUUAUAUGUCCGAAGUAGGUCAGAUAAAUAUGAAGGCGCCAGGUUGUGUAAUGCCUUUAUAAACGAAAAGCAGGAUUUUAUAUUCAAUGCUUUGUUUUAACAGGAAGCCAUUGCAGCUGUUUUUCAUUUACAUUUGACCCAAUGUACAACUUUUUUGGGACUGGGAUUGUAAUUCUUAUUUCUCAAUAUGCAAUAUGAGCAGAGUCAUAUCUGCACUUCAAGCAGUACAUAUCCCACCAGUUCCCUUCUGGUUCCCCAGCCCAAUUUUAUUUGUAAUCAUUAUUAUUAUUAUUAUUAUUAUUAUUUAUUUUUUUUAUAGUAUUGUAGAUCCAAGUUUCGUUCAGUUCCCGACUUCCCCGUCUUCCCCACUUCUGCUCCUAAUUCCCAUAGUACUUGUGUAUAAACCCUGUUUGUAUUAUUCGACCUAGCACGCCACUCACCAUUUAACAUCUAGUUCAAAUAUUUACAGCUCUGUAAAACAUGUACAGUAAAGUCUAACAUUUUAAAUGCACUGAGAAGAGCUGCUUUUAUUUGUUAUCUGCCACUAUUUCAGCAUUUUGUCAAAGCCAACGUAUACACAGCCAUGUCCAGAUGAAAUAAACAGUGUGCGAGCAGAGUUGGAGCA